UCCUGGUGGCUCAGACGGUAAAGCAUCUGCCUGCAAUGUGGGAGACCCGGGUUUGAUUCCUGGGUCAGGAA
rnacentral:tRNA from 1 species